rnacentral:tRNA from 1 species
GUAUUGGUUGCUCAGUGGUAGAAUUCUUUCCUUUCACGUAGGAGACCAGGUUUGAUUCCUGGCCAAUAUA